rnacentral:rRNA from 1 species
UACAGAGGUCUCAAGCGUUGUUCGGAUUUAUUGGGCGUAAAGGGCGCGUAGGCGGCGGGGUAAGUCGGGUGUGAAAUCUCAGGGCUCAACCCUGAAACUGCAUUCGAUACUGCCGUGCUUGAGGACUGGAGAGGAGACUGGAAUUUACGGUGUAGCGGUGAAAUGCGUAGAUAUCGUAAGGAAGACCAGUGGCGAAGGCGGGUCUCUGGACAGUUCCUGACGCUGAGGCACGAAGGCCAGGGGAGCAAACGGG